rnacentral:rRNA from 1 species
GACGAACGCUGGCGGCGUGCUUAACACAUGCAAGUCGAACGAAGUGGCGAACGGGUGAGUAACGCGUAAUCAACCUGCCCUUCAGAGGGGGACAACAGUUGGUGACGACUGCUCAUACCGCAUACUGAAGGAGGGGAGUGCGUCGGCUUAGCUGGUUGGAGGGGUAACGGCCCACCAAGGCGAUGAUCAGUAGCGGGUCUGAGAGGAUGAACGUCCACAUUGGGACUGAGACACGGCCCAGACUCCUACGGGAGGCAGCAGUGGGGAAUAUUCCGCAAUGGACGAAAGUCUGACGGAGCAACGCCGCGUGAGUGAUGACGGCCUUAGGGUUGUAAAGCUCUGUUAAUCGGGACGCGGUACCGGAAUAGAAAGCCACGGCUAACUACGUGCCAGCAGCCGCGGUAAUAC